rnacentral:rRNA from 1 species
GACGAACGCUGGCGGCGUGCUUAACACAUGCAAGUCGAACGGAAAGGCCCUGCUUUUGUGGGGUGCUCGAGUGGCGAACGGGUGAGUAACACGUGAGUAACCUGCCCUUGACUUUGGGAUAACUUCAGGAAACUGGGGCUAAUACCGGAUAGGAGCUCCUGCUGCAUGGUGGGGGUUGGAAAGUUUCGGCGGUUGGGGAUGGACUCGCGGCUUAUCAGCUUGUUGGUGGGGUAGUGGCUUACCAAGGCUUUGAGGGGUAGCCGGCCUGAGAGGGUGACCGGCCACAUUGGGACUGAGAUACGGCCCAGACUCCUACGGGAGGCCGCAGUGGGGAAUAUUGCACAAUGGGCGGAAGCCUGAUGCAGCAACGCCGCGUGCGGGAUGACGGCCUUCGGGUUGUAAACCGCUUUCGCCUGUGACGAAGCGUGAGUGACGGUAAUGGGUAAAGAAGCACCGGCUAACUACGUG